CUAUGCCUAACGGGACGCAGCAGUAGGGAAUCUUCCACAAUGGGCGAAAGCCUGAUGGAGCAGCGCCGCGUGGGUGAAGAAGGUCUUCGGAUCGUAAAACCCUGUUGUUAGAGAAGAAAGUGCGUGAGAGUAACUGUUCACGUUUCGACGGUAUCUAACCAGAAAGCCACGGCUAACUACGUGCCAGCAGCCGCGGUAAUACGUAGGUGGCAAGCGUUAUCCGGAUUUAUUGGGCGUAAAGGCAACGCAGGCGGUCUUUUACGUCUGAUGUGACAGCCUUCGGCUUAACCGGAGUAGUGCAUUGG
rnacentral:rRNA from 1 species